rnacentral:rRNA from 1 species
UGCCAGCAGCCGCGGUAAAACGUAGGGGACAAGCGUUAUCCGGAUUCACUGGGCGUAAAGAACGUUGAGGCGGUUCCGUAAGUUGGGCGUGAAAGCUCCGGGCUUAACUCGGAGAUGUCGUUCAAUACUGCGGGGCUUGAGGACAGCAGAGGAAGGUGGAAUUCCCGGUGUAGUGGUGAAAUGCGUAGAUAUCGGGAGGAACACCCGUGGCGAAGGCGGCCUUCUGGGCUGUUCCUGACGCUGAAGGCGAAAGCUAGGGGAGCGAACGGGAUUAGAUACCCCGGUAGUCCUAGCUGUAAACGAUGGAUGCUGGGUGUGGGGGGUGUAAAUUCCCUCUGUGCCGAAGCAAACGCGUUAAGCAUCCCGCCUGGGGACUACGGCCGCAAGGCUAAAACUCAAACGAAUUGACGGGGGCCCGCACAAGCAGCGGAGCGUGUGGUUUAAUUCGAUGCUACACGAAGAACCUUACCUGGGUUUGACAUGCACGUGGUAGGGAACCGAAAGGGGACCGACCUUCGGGAGCGUGCACAGGUGCUGCAUGGCUGUCGUCAGCUCGUGCCGUGAGGUGUCGGGUUAAGUCCCGUAACGAGCGCAACCCUUGCCCUUAGUUACAAGUGUCUAAGGGGACUGCCCGGGACAACUGGGAGGAAGGUGGGGAUGACGUCAAGUCAGCAUGGCCUUUAUAUCCAGGGCUACACACACGCUACAAUGGCCGGUACAAUAGGUUGCGAAGUCGUGAGGCGGAGCCAAUCCUCAAAGCCGGUCUCAGUUCGAAUUGCAGUCUGCAACUCGACUGCAUGAAGCUGGAGUUGCUA